rnacentral:rRNA from 1 species
GACGAACCGUGCGAACGUUAUUCGGAAUCACUGGGCUUAAAGCGCGUGUAGGCGGUCCGGCACGUCGAUGGUUGAAAGACCACUGCACAACCGGGGAAUGGGCCUCGAUACGACCGGACUGGAGGGAGGUAGGGGGAUCGGGAACUUCCGGUGGAGCGGUGAAAUGCGUUGAGAUCGGAAGGAACGCCCGUGGCGAAAGCGCGGUCCUGGACCUCACCUGACGCUGAGACGCGAAAGCUAGGGGGGCAAACGGG